UAUAAGUAUAAAAGAUGUGUUUUAGAAAUGUACAAUGCUUUUAAAUUUCAGAACUACUUCUGAACUAGAGAGCUUCAACAAUCAUCUUUUGAUACGCUCCAAACCAAAGCGAAAUGCUUUCAGCUGUGCAGGUGUCAGUUAGCAGCAAUAGAUUAUUCAAAACACUUGAAUCAUCCUGUUUUGUUGGACAAAGAAGGAAAUGAGAGG